ACCAUCCUUUUCUUGGGGUAGUGCUACUGUCCAAUGAAUGAGCUGUGAGGGCAAUACUACUAACGCCUACACAACAUGCCCGCAUCAACUAGAGCUUUGCUUUACUUUGGUGCAAUUUUUGAAAAA
rnacentral:ncRNA from 1 species